rnacentral:tRNA from 1 species
ACAGAUAUAAGUUAAGUUUAAACUAUUGGUCUUCAAAACCAAAAAUAUUAAUCUGUA